GAUUACCCGCUGAACUUAAGCAUAUCAAUAAGCGGAGGAAACGGGGUAAUUGAUUGC
rnacentral:rRNA from 1 species